rnacentral:rRNA from 1 species
GAUGAACGCUGGCGGCGUGCCUAAUACAUGCAAGUCGAGCGAACAGACGCGGAGCUUGCUCCUCUGACGUUAGCGGCGGACGGGUGAGUAACACGUGGAUAACCUACCUAUAGGACUGGGAUAACUUCGGGACACCGGCGCUAAUACCGGAUAAUCUCUUGAACCGCAUGGUUCAAUAGUGAAAGUCGGUUUUGCUGUCACUUAUAGAUGGAUCUGCGCCGCAUUAGCUAGUUGGUAAGGUCACGGCUUACCAAGGCGACGAUGCGUAGCCGACCUGAGAGAGUGGUAGGCGACAUGAGAAGGGAGACACGGACAAGACGCCUAAGAGAGGCAGCAGAAGGGUAUGGGAGGCAGUAGGGGAAAGUCUUACGGAGCGACGGCGAGUGAGAGAUAGAGGUGUUCGGAGCGGAAAAAUCGGUUAUGAGGGAAGAACAGAUGUGGAAGGAAAUGAACACGGAUUGACGGUAACUGAUAAAGAAGCAACGGCUAACUACGUG